rnacentral:rRNA from 1 species
GUCCUAUUGAUUUUGAUUUUAGGUCGGACCUGCCCAAUGAUUUUUAAUUUAAUGGCCGCGGUAAUCUGACCGUGCAAAGGUAGCAUAAUCACUAGUUUUUUAAUUGAAAGCUUGAAUGAAAGGUCUGAUGAGAAAAUGACUGUCUCUAUCUAAAUUUAUUAGAAAUUUAUUUUUAAGUAAAAAAGCUUAAAUAUUCAUAGAAGACGAGAAGACCCUAUAGAGUUUUAUAGUUAUUGUGAAUAAUUUGGAUUUAGGAUCUUAUAAAUUGUUCAUAAUAAUUAUUUGGUUGGGGAGAUUAAAAAAUUGAGUGAACUUUUUUUGUAUAUGAACAUUGAUGUGUGAGUUUUUGAUCCUUUGUAUAAAGAUUAAAAGAUAAAAUUACCUUAGGGAUAACAGCGUAAUUUUUUUUAGAGUUCUGAUCAAAAAAAAAGAUUGCGACCUCGAUGUUGGAUUAAAAGAAAUUAUUGGUGUAGAAGCUAAUAAAUUAGGUCUGUUCGACCUUUAAAAUUUUACAUGAUCUGAGUUUAAACCGGCGUGAG